GAUACACUGAUAUUUAUCAUCAUUUGCAUAAUAAUUAGCAGUGGGAAGAAGUAUCUUGGUCUCCUGCGAAUAUUUUAUCUUGUUAGCACUCAAUAUUAACUACUUGACCUUGCCUAGCUUAUAAGAUCAAAUAGAGCAAAGGCCAUCUCUUUCAGUGACCGCAUUAAUCCCAGGGCACACUACAUCACUUGCAUAUGAUAGACCUUAGCAAUCAUCUUUGGAUUGUACUAAUAUAAAUAAAUGUUGAAAACUCACACUAUCUACACUGUAGUGAACACACGAAUGUGUACAUUGUAAGAUCUUCUUUACUUCUUGAGAGAAGGUCUUAUUCUGUUGCCCAGGCUGGAGUGCAGUGGCGCAAUCAUGGCUCACUACAGCCUUGACCUCCUAGACUCAAGUGAUCCUCCCACCUCAGCCUCCCGAGUAGCUGAAACUACAGGCACGUGCCACCAUGUCUGGCUAAUUUUUGUAUAUUUUGUUGAGACAGAGUUUCGCCAUGUUGCCCAGUCUGGGCUAGAACUCCUGAGAUCAAGCGAUCCUCCCACCUCAGCCUCCCAGAGUGUUGGAAUUAUAGGCCACUGUACAUAUCCUCAUAAGAUCUUCUUGUCCUCACUUCUAAUUUAUGCUAAUUGCCACUGGAGUGGGCAGUUAUGUAGUCUUUUACCAGCUUCAUGAAGAUGUUUGCUGCCUCCUGGACAUGUCUGUUGUCCCUGCAGUGAGGAAUGUCGCAGGAAUUCCCUUGGUGCUCACAUGUGUGCAAAUAAGCCAGAAUGUGGUAAAGUUAUAGUACCAUGGAAGAAAACAUCUACCAAUGUGGGAAAAGAGUUCUCACCCCUGCCCACCAAAAAAAGAUGGUCCUGAAAUGAAUUUCCCAUGCCACCACACAGUACUUACAAUCAUUGAAUUGUCUUUUACUCUUUCCAGCGAUCUCUCAUUUCUGGUCUAUGGGAUCUUACUUCCUAGCAAAGUACUCUCAUAGAAGCCUCUGUCUCAUGCUGUGCUGCUAGAGAUAUCAGACUAAGUGUAACUAUUGCUGACCUAAGCAUGAAUUGCAAUCAUUGUCCCCAGGGGAAAUUCUAAUCCAUAAUACUAUGGAUUGUAUUUGUAAUGGACAUUUUCCCCUACCAUUAGAGCAGCAUAACUCUUGAGAAUCUGAAAAAGAAAGCCAUAGCUAAAGUAUGACAAGGUACCUCCUCACCUACCUGAAAAAGUAAUUUUCCUCAGUGGAAAUUCCAAUCCAUAACAUUAUGGAUUUUGCUGGUAAUGAAUAUUUUUUUCUACCAUUAGAGCAGUAUAACUCUUGUGAAUCACAAAAAGAGAGCCAUAGCUAGGUGAUGAAAAGUUAUCUUUUCACCUACCUAAGGAAACAAUAGGCAAGCUAUUCACUCUAUGACAACUUCAGGGACCAAAGGAAAAAAAUGAAUGAGAAGGGGAAAGAGAUAAGUCUUUUAAAAUAUUGAAUACGUUUUACCCAGGGUAACUAUUAUUCUUUUCAUUCAGCACUCACAACUGUAUUGUAAAAAGACACUGAAGUCUGCACAUUAUAGAUGAGGAAACUAAGAUGUCACAUGGUGACUUCUCCUCCAAACACACAGUUGGCAAAACGCAGAGUAGGACCUUGAACAUGGGUUCAUGGCUACAAGGACUAAGGGCUAUGGUUUUUGCACUGAACUACAUGGUUACCAGAGUCAGAAACAAAGUAAGUGCCAUAAUGUAUAUGUUUAUUGUCUGGGAACUGGCUAAGAAAAAUGAGUGAGGCUGACUCUCUUUUCGGACUCAGCCCGCCUGCACCCAGGUGAAAUAAAUAGCCAUGUUGCUCACACAAAGCCUGUUUGGUGGUCUCUUUACACGGACGUGCGUGAAAUUUGGUGCCGUGACUCAGAUCGGGGGACCUCCCUUGGGAGAUCAAUCCCCUGUCCUCCUGCCCUUUGCUCCGUGAGAAAGAUCCACCUACAACCUCAGGUCCUCAGACCCACCAGCCCAAGAAACAUCUCACCAAUUUCAAAUCCGGUAAGUGGCCUCUUUUUACUCUCUUCUCCAACCUCCCUCACUGUCCCUCAACCUCUUUCUCCUUUCAAUUG
rnacentral:lncRNA from 10 species